CUGCCAGUGAUAAACUGGAGGAAGGUGGGGAUGACGUCAAGUCAUCAUGGCCCUUACGAGUAGGGCUACACACGUGCUACAAUGGCAUAUACAAAGAGAAGCGACCUCGCGAGAGCAAGCGGACCUCAUAAAGUAUGUCGUAGUCCGGAUUGGAGUCUGCAACUCGACUCCAUGAAGUCGGAAUCGCUAGUAAUCGUGGAUCAGAAUGCCACGGUGAAUACGUUCCCGGGCCUUGUACACACCGCCCGUCACACCAUGGGAGUGGGUUGCAAAAGAAGUAGGUAGCUUAACCUUCGGGAGGGCGCUUACCACUUUGUGAUUCAUGACUGGGGUGAAGUCGUAACAAGGUAACCGUAGGGGAACCUGCGGUUGGAUC
rnacentral:rRNA from 1 species